ACAGAACUCUCUGUUAAAUACUCAAGGAUAUGGCAUAACAUAGUGCUAAGGUGGCGCACACAUUGAUAAAAGCAUGAAAACAUAAUGUAAAAAGCAGCAGAGAGUUUGAUCACUCAAGAAUGUCAUAACAUGGUGCUAGGGUAGCGCAAACAUCGCGAUCACGGAGUUGCCACAUUUUCCUUGGACAUAGGAGCGAUUUCCUCUCCGUCAAUCCCUGGUUCGCUGCCAUGGACUCCUAGAUCGAGGAGCAAUUCUUCCCACUUCUUCGCAGGUCCCUUCCAUGAAAGGUCUUGAGCCAUGCAAUUCUGAACCAUUUCGCUGAAAGCAGGAGUUCCAUAGACCUUAAGAGCCUUCUUCACAGUUUUAACAGUCGCCACCACAUCCACUGGAUCAAUAGCUUCACAAUUAACAGUGAAGGCGCCCAUGUGGAAUCCAGUGAAUCCUUCCUUGACUGUGUCUACAAGACCACCUGUGGUCGAACAAAUGACCGGCAUCCCAUAUUGCAUGCCUUCAAGUUGAAUAAGCCCACAUGGCUCAAAUCUACUAGGAACUAUGAUAAGAUCACCUCCAGCCAUCAUCAUAUGUGCUAAGGGAAUAUUGAAUUUCGCAAUUCCUCUCGCCUUGUCCGGGUACUUUUCUUCUAUUUCUUCGACCUGUUUUUCAAAGAUUUUCUUGCCGGUUCCGAGAAUUAUUAUCUGCACAUUCUCAUCAAUGAAAUCUGGAAUUGCUGCAGCGAGAAUGUCUGAGCCUUUCUGCUCCUCUAGCCUUCCUACGAAGACUAUCACUGGAAUGUCUGGGUCUACAGGCAAGCCAACUUCUGCUUGUAGUGCUUGUUUAUUGACACGCUUCGCCUCCGUUACCGUUGUCGCAUCAUAAUUGGCAGUGAUAUACUUGUCUGUCAAUGGAUUCCAAAAAUUAAUAUCCAUCCCAUUCACAAUCCCUUUGAUGCCAAUCAUGGUUAUAUCUUUGUCCAACUCAACACCUUUAUCUUCUCCAGAGACGAGCUCUUUAGCAUAGUAUGGGCUCACAGUUACAACGGCAUCGGCUUCUAAAAUUCCAGCCCUCAUCCAGUUUAUUUUUCUCCCCUUCACGGGUUUUAAAUAUCCAUCGAAGAAAUCAAAUGAGGAUUUGAAUUUGUCCGGGAGAUUGAGAAGUGAGAAAUCAGCGAAGGGGAAUCUGCCUUGAUAGGCAAUGUUAUGAAUGCAGAAGGCAACCUUGGCACUCUUAUAAAUGCCAACUGACUGGUACAUACUCUUUAAGUAGCAUGAAAGAGGCCCGGUGUGCCAGUCAUUAGCAAUGAAAACUACAUCUUCCCCAUAUGGUCCAGAAAAGUAUUCGCUGUUAUUGAGAUUCAGGACUCUCGGAGCCUCCAAAGCUGCCAGACACAAAAGGCUGAACCUCAGCUGGUUGUCAUCAUAAUCAGUUCCCGUAACAGGACCAUACAAUUUUCCACCAGUUUUCCCCCAUACCUUCUCAAGAAACCACGGAUGAUCAAUAAAUACUCGAUCGACUCCUCUCUUAUAGAGGUGAAAGUAUCGCACAGUUUCAAUUUUAUCCCCGACUUUGAACUCAGCCACAACACCAGUGUCCCAUGCAUCUUUAUACUGAUCAUACCGCGGAGUCACAACCAUAACUCGAUGUCCUCUUGCCGCCAUUGCGGGCGGUAGUCCUCCGAGGACAUCUCCGAGGCCGCCAGUCUUGCUGUGAGGCCCCGUCUCGGUCCCGACAUACACCAAGUUCAUCCCUGUGCUACAAGUGAUAGCUCCCGCACAAUUCACCGCUCUUCCACAUUGUCUAGGGGUUGAUCUUGUGGUAGCUCUCAUCUGCAGAGAAUCCACUGGCUUCAGUCGCCUCAACCCUUGGUGAGCAGCUGACAGGGGUGUCAGAUUCGGUAUCAAGAAUGUUCUUGGCCUCCAUUCAAGAGCUCCCUGUUGGUAGCUCUUGAUCAUGAAAUGCGGAGUCGCCGACGCAGCCAUUAUUUGCCUCGGCUUAUGGGAGUUGGU
rnacentral:misc_RNA from 1 species